rnacentral:rRNA from 1 species
AACGAACGCUGGCGGCAGGCUUAACACAUGCAAGUCGAGCGCCCCGCAAGGGGAGCGGCAGACGGGUGAGUAACACGUGGGAACAUAGCCAUCUCUGCGGAACAACUCCGGGAAACUGGAGCUAAUACCGCAUACGCCCUUUGGGGGAAAGAUUUAUCGGAGAUGGAUUGGCCCGCGUUGGAUUAGCUAGUUGGUGGGGUAAAGGCCUACCAAGGCGACGAUCCAUAGCUGGUCUGAGAGGAUGAUCAGCCACAUUGGGACUGAGACACGGCCCAAACUCCUACGGGAGGCAGCAGUGGGGAAUAUUGGACAAUGGGCGCAAGCCUGAUCCAGCCAUGCCGCGUGAGUGAUGAAGGCCUUAGGGUUGUAAAGCUCUUUCACCGAUGAAGAUAAUGACGGUAGUCGGAGAAGAAGCCCCGGCUAACUUCGUGCCAGCCGCCGCAGUAACAC